UUACCAAAAGUUAAGUUUUUGGGGAGGUUAUUCAGUGACCUUUGCCAGCUUGAGCUCUUUGGGAGAAUAAACUUGAAGACCACACUCCACAGUGGGCUGUGCCACUCAUAGCUCACUACUAUUUUGUGGCCUACAUU